rnacentral:rRNA from 1 species
UGGGGAAUCUUGCACAAUGAGGGAAACCUUGAUGCAGCGACGCCGCGUGCGGGAUGAAGGCCCUAGGGUUGUAAACCGCUUUCAGUAGGGAAGAAAGUGACGGUACCUACAGAAGAAGCCCCGGCCAAAUACGUGCCAGCAGCCGCGGUGAUACGUAUGGGGCAAGCGUUGUCCGGAUUUACUGGGCGUAAAGAGCUCGUAGGCGGUUUAUCAAGUCGGAAGUGAAAUCUCCAGGCUCAACCUGGAGCGGCCUUUCGAUACUGGUAUGACUUGAGUAUGGUAGAGGAGUGUGGAAUUCCUGGUGUAGCGGUGAAAUGCGCAGAUAUCAGGAGGAACACCUAUGGCGAAGGCAGCACUCUGGGCCAAAACUGACGCUGAGGAGCGAAAGCGUGGGGAGCGAACAGG